AGUGAACGCUGGCGGUAGGCCUAACACAUGCAAGUCGAACGAGUGGCGGACGGGUGAGGAAUACAUCGGAAUCUACUCUGUCGUGGGGGAUAACGUAGGGAAACUUGCGCUAAUACCACAUACGAUUGAAUGAGCCGAGGUGGGAUUCGCUAGGUGGGGGGGUAAAGGCCCACCAAGGCGACGAUCCGUAGCUGGGCUGAGAGGAGGAUCAGCCACACUGGAACUGAGACACGGUACAGACUCCUACGGGAGGCAGCAGUGGAGAAUAGUGGACAAGGGGCGCAAGCCUGAUCCAGCCCUACCGAGUGGGGGAAGAAGGCCUUCGGGUUGUAAAGCUAUUUUGUUGGGAAAGCGGUACCAAAAGAAUAAGCACCGGCUAACUUCGUGCCAGCAGCCGCGGUAAUAC
rnacentral:rRNA from 1 species